GACCUCAAAUCAGGUAGGACUACCCGCUGAACUUAAGCAUAUCAAUAAGCGGAGGAAAAGAAACCAACAGGGAUUGCCUCAGUAACGGCGAGUGAAGCGGCAAAAGCUCAAAUUUGAAAUCUGGCCUCUGGUCCGAGUUGUAAUUUGAAGAAGCGACUUUGGUACCGGCUCUUGUCUAUGUUCCUUGGAACAGGACGUCACAGAG
rnacentral:rRNA from 1 species